UACAGAGGUCUCAAGCGUUGUUCGGAUUCAUUGGGCGUAAAGGGUGUGUAGGUGGCGCGCUAAGUCGGGUGUGAAAUUUCGGAGCUUAACUCCGAAACUGCAUUCGAUACUGGCGUGCUUGAGGACUGGAGAGGAGACUGGAGUUCAUGGUGUAGCAGUGAAAUGCGUAGAGAUCAUGAGGAAGACCAGUGGCGAAGGCGGGUCUCUGGACAGUUCCUGACACUGAGACACGAAGGCCAGGGGAGCAAACGGG
rnacentral:rRNA from 1 species